UCCUACGGGAGGCAGCAGUGGGGAAUAUUGCACAAUGGGCGGAAGCCUGAUGCAGCAACGCCGCGUGCGGGAUGACGGCCUUCGGGUUGUAAACCGCUUUCGCCUGUGACGAAGCGUGAGUGACGGUAAUGGGUAAAGAAGCACCGGCUAACUACGUGCCAGCAGCCGCGGUGUUACGUAGGGUGCGAGCGUUGUCCGGAUUUAUUGGGCGUAAAGGGCUCGUAGGUGGUUGAUCGCGUCGGAAGUGUAAUCUUGGGGCUUAACCCUGAGCGUGCUUUCGAUACGGGUUGACUUGAGGAAGGUAGGGGAGAAUGGAAUUCCUGGUGGAGCGGUGGAAUGCGCAGAUAUCAGGAGGAACACCAGUGGCGAGGGCGGUUCUCUGGGCCUUUCCUGACGCUGAGGAGCGAAAGCGUGGGGAGCGAACAGGCUUAGAUACCCUGGUAGUCCACGCUGUAAACGGUGGGUACUAGGUGUGGGGUCCAUUCCACGGGUUCCGCGCCGUAGCUAACGCUUUAAGUACCCCGCCUGGGGAGUACGGCCGCAAGGCUAAAACUCAAAGGAAUUGACGGGGCCCCGCACAAGCGGCGGAGCAUGCGGAUUAAUUCGAUGCAACGCGUAGAACCUUACCUGGGUUUGACACGGAUCGGGAGUGCUCAGAGAUGGGUGUGCCUCUUUUGGGGUCGGUUCACAGGUGGUGCAUGGCUGUCGUCAGCUCGUGUCGUGAGAUGUUGGGUUAAGUCCCGCAACGAGCGCAACCCUUGUUCACUGUUGCCAGCACGUUAUGGUGGGGACUCAGUGGAGACCGCCGGGGUCAACUCGGAGGAAGGUGGGGAUGACGUCAAGUCAUCAUGCCCCUUAUGUCCAGGGCUUCACGCAUGCUACAAUGGCUGGUACAGAGAGUGGCGAGCCUGUGAGGGUGAGCGAAUCUCGGAAAGCCGGUCUCAGUUCGGAUUGGGGUCUGCAACUCGACCUCAUGAAGUCGGAGUCGCUAGUAAUCGCAGAUCAGCAACGCUGCGGUGUAAUCAUUCCCGGGCCUUGUACACACCGC
rnacentral:rRNA from 1 species